GCCUCUGCACCCUUCUUAAUGGUGGUGGCUCGUCCCUGGGGCUCACCAUCAACCAGACUCAACUCUUGCUCUCCCUGGCGCUUGCAACGUCCAGACUCCACCCGUGAGUCAGUGUAAUGGUGCUGCUGGACCAACAACUACUCCUACCCCUCCUAAGGAAACACCAGUUACGCCUUCCACGCCAACUGUGCCGAGUGCACCAUCAGUACCAUCGGCACCAUCAGCACAAACCACUCCGGCCUCGGGCGUUCCUUCAGGAAGUGGAUCUAAGUCUGUCCCAUCCACUGGCGGGGAUGUAUCGGAUGCAGAAUCUAUCACAUUGUCUCUUGCUCUGUCAUUCUCCCUUCUAUUCAUUUCAGCAUAUGCUUCAAGUCUCACAGCGUUGUAGACUCAACCAUGAUUUUGUGUAUAACCGUGUUUUAAUAUGAAGUCAUGAGUGUGGAUGUGUUGUUUAUUGAGAAUUAUUUUGGAUUAUAUCACAUCAAUGUUUACAAAUAUAAAUAAAAAGGCAUUUUGUUCCUUUUCCAUUUUCUAAAUAAACUCAACACGCAUCUUUUUUUAA